GAUGAACGCUGGCGGCGUGCUUAACACAUGCAAGUCGAACGGUGAACGAGGGAGCUUGCUCCCUCCGGAUUAGUGGCGAACGGGUGAGUAACACGUGAGCAAUCUGCCCCUGACUCUGGGAUAAGCGCUGGAAACGGCGUCUAAUACCGGAUACGAGCUGCGAAGGCAUCUUCAGCAGCUGGAAAGAACUUCGGUCAGGGAUGAGCUCGCGGCCUAUCAGCUUGUGGGUGAGGUAACGGCUCACCAAGGCGUCGACGGGUAGCCGGCCUGAGAGGGUGACCGGCCACACUGGGACUGAGACACGGCCCAGACUCCUACGGGAGGCAGCAGUGGGGAAUAUUGCACGAUGGGCGAAAGCCUGAUGCAGCAACGCCGCGUGAGGGACGACGGCCUUCGGGUUGUAAACCUCUUUUAGCAGGGAAGAAGCGAAAGUGACGGUACCUGCAGAAAAAGCACCGGCUAACUACGUGCCAGCAGCCGCCGUAAUAC
rnacentral:rRNA from 1 species